rnacentral:antisense_RNA from 1 species
AGGAUAUUGCCGGUUUAUUUUUUUCAAAUCUUCCUCAAAUUUUACAUGUGUCGCUUGAAAUAAGUGUUCAAAAACUUCUCCCAGCUCGUUUUCUAAAACCUUAAUUCCUUCACCAGUAAUUCCGCCUUUUACACACACUUUCUCUUGUAAUGUUUGCAAAGAAUAAUGUCUUUUUCUUAAUAACUCUCCUAAACCG